AGAGUUUGAUCAUGGCUCAGGACGAACGCUGGCGGCACGCUUAACACAUGCAAGUCGAACGAGAGAAGAGGAGCUUGCUUUUCUGAUCUAGUGGCGGACGGGUGAGUAACACGUGAGCAAUCUGCCUUUCAGAGGGGGAUACCGAUUGGAAACGAUCGUUAAUACCGCAUAACAUAAUUGAACCGCAUGAUUUGAUUAUCAAAGAUUUAUCGCUGAAAGAUGAGCUCGCGUCUGAUUAGCUAGUUGGUAAGGUAGCGGCUUACCAAGGCGACGAUCAGUAGCCGGACUGAGAGGUUGAUCGGCCACAUUGGGACUGAGACACGGCCCAGACUCCUACGGGAGGCAGCAGUGGGGAAUAUUGCACAAUGGAGGAAACUCUGAUGCAGCGAUGCCGCGUGAGGGAAGAAGGUUUUAGGAUUGUAAACCUCUGUCUUCAGGGACGAAAAAAGACGGUACCUGAGGAGGAAGCUCCGGCUAACUACGUGCCAGCAGCCGCGGUAAUACGUAGGGAGCGAGCGUUGUCCGGAAUUACUGGGUGUAAAGGGAGCGUAGGCGGGAUCGCAAGUCAGAUGUGAAAACUAUGGGCUUAACCCAUAAACUGCAUUUGAAACUGUGGUUCUUGAGUGAAGUAGAGGUAAGCGGAAUUCCUAGUGUAGCGGUGAAAUGCGUAGGUAUUAGGAGGAACAUCAGUGGCGAAGGCGGCUUACUGGGCUUUAACUGACGCUGAGGCUCGAAAGCGUGGGGAGCAAACAGGAUUAGAUACCCUGGUAGUCCACGCCGUAAACGAUGAUUACUAGGUGUGGGGGGACUGACCCCUUCCGUGCCGCAGCAAACGCAAUAAGUAAUCCACCUGGGGAGUACGACCGCAAGGUUGAAACUCAAAGGAAUUGACGGGGGCCCGCACAAGCAGUGGAGUAUGUGGAUUAAUUCGAAGCAACGCGAAGAACCUUACCAGGUCUUGACAUCGUAUGCAUAGCUCAGAGAUGAGUGAAAUCUCUUCGGAGACAUAUAGACAGGUGGUGCAUGGUUGUCGUCAGCUCGUGUCGUGAGAUGUUGGGUUAAGUCCCGCAACGAGCGCAACCCUUACUGUUAGUUGCUACGCAAGAGCACUCUAGCAGGACUGCCGUUGACAAAACGGAGGAAGGUGGGGAUGACGUCAAAUCAUCAUGCCCAUUAUGACCUGGGCCUCACACGUACUACAAUGGCUGUCAACAGAGGGAAGCAAAGCCGCGAGGUGGAGCGAACCCCUAAAAGCAGUCUUAGUUCGGAUUGUAGGCUGCAACCCGCCUACAUGAAGUCGGAAUUGCUAGUAAUCGCAGAUCAGCAUGCUGCGGUGAAUACGUUCCCGGGCCUUGUACACACCGCCCGUCACGCCAUGGGAGUCGGUAACACCCGAAGCCUGUAGUCUAACCGCAAGGAGGACGCAGUCGAAGGUGGGAUUGAUGACUGGGGUGAAGUCGUAACAAGGUA
rnacentral:rRNA from 1 species